ensembl:lncRNA
UAAAUGUAAUUCAUUUCCUUGCAACAUUUAUCUUAAUAUCGCCCCAGAUGCUCCUAAAAGUGAGAGUCUCGGCUUUUCUCAGUGAUCGCAACAGUUACCGUAACUAUAGCACGAAUCGCGCACCUUGAAUAUAGCGACGGCUCAUUUGACCACGGAAAAGUAAACGGCGGUUCAUUUGACCGUGGUGACACACCGGAGCAAACGGCAACUGUAGCUUGUUUGAUCCUUUCGGUAAUUAAUCUUACUGCAUCUAUUUAUGACAAUGAGUAGCACAUGUGUACAGCGAGCGGCGCUACAAUAAGUAUAGUGAAUUUUACUGUCUUGUCGUCUGCGUUAGAUUAAAGAUUAUGACACAAUAAAAAUGUGCUACCACUAGCAUCAUAAUGGCUCAGAGAACUUUCCUUUUACGAUGCAAACAAAUCGUUAAUGAGUGUACUCGACUUCUACAAGGGGACAGUCCACCAGAUGACGCAUUUCAAACAGUUCUAACAAGAAUGGAAACCCUUAAACGCUGUCUGGAGUGCUCAAGAGGGAGGUUGAUGGAUGCAACAGCAGUACAAGACAUCCUAGAAAACAUUGAGAAAUAUACUCAGGAGGUCAAGGAAAUGCAACAGGGGGCUCAACAAGGUACUAACUGCAGACUGACAAGUGAAAUCUUGUUUUUCAGGCCUUUAUAAUUACAAAGACUAACUGCAUACUACAUGCUAAUUCAUUACCUAUUUGUUUAAUUAUGUGGGAAUUACACUCAUCAACACAUGGAGGUGUGUGUUUACGCAGAACUGUUAUGAAGGUGUCGUUAUGUAAGUUUUGCUUUGUUCAGCAGCUGUUCGGUUGCUUUAUCAAUAAUUGUUAAAACGUCUAUGCCUCUGCUCUUUAGGGGACUAAUGUUUUAGCUAGCUAGCUGCGCUAAUACAGCGUGACAGUACGGUCACUUAGAACUUUUCAGCGGACCUAAUUUAGUUCCCGUUUUCUUUGCCACCCUGUAUAUGAAGAAGUAAUUGCACUUUAGUGAGCAGAGCGAGGUAUAUGUUGAAACCUGUUACGCUCUGUUGCUGUUUAGUGUACUGUAAUAUGUAUUUUGAGACUUAAAACUAUUUCAGUAAUUUCAUGUCGUUUGUUUUAUUUCCACAGUGCUUAUAGACACAAGCUGUUACGGCGAUAAAGAGGCACGUGAUGGCUGGACUGUCAUGCGAGGUGGUGUCAGCAAAAGUAAAACUCACAAGUCAUAGAGUCAAUUGACUCUCUGCAUAUUCGUUGAGCUGAGGGCUGCUUGAAGUGCUGUUUCUGUUGUAAUAGAGGUGAGGUCAGGAAAAUAACUUUUCUUAAAUAUGACAUAUAUAGAUGCUUCAGUCGAACAAGUCUGUCACAAACAAGUAAUUCCUUUUCCAAUAGAUGUGUUUUGAUCAUUUAUCAUUAUCAAACAUGUGAUCACAUGACUUUUACUGGCUAAUGAAUUAUGCCUUCUACAUUAAACAAUUACUGUCUUUUUGUCCUCUACAGAUUAACGUGCACACGCAUCAUAGACCAGAAGCACAAGUGGCCAUUGGUUUUAAUGCUGUCAACUAGGGCUCAAGCAUGCAUUAAAGAGUCCAUUACCUAAGAUGAUGUGGUUGUUAUUGCUCCUGAUACAAAGUUUUCGGUGUGUACACUUAAUGUCACUUUUCACAAAGACAAAUUCUGUAACAUCUGUUGUCUCUGUUUGAUUAUAGCAGGUAAUGUUUAUAUUAGUGUUUAGAAAGAUAAAGAAGGUACAGUACUGGGUUGUAUAGCACCGACGCCUGUGUGGUCACGUGUAACACUUGACUGAAGUAUUUCAAAUAGAUUUCAGUAUUCCCCAGUAAAUAAAAAAAACUCUACAAAUGUCCA